rnacentral:rRNA from 1 species
GACGAACGCUGGCGGCGUGCUUAACACAUGCAAGUCGAACGGAAAGGCCCUGCUUGCAGGGUACUCGAGUGGCGAACGGGUGAGUAACACGUGGGUGAUCUGCCCUGCACUUCGGGAUAAGCCUGGGAAACUGUGUCUAAUACCGGAUAGGAGCCAUUUUUAGUGUGAUGGUUGGAAAGUUUUUUUCGGUGUAGGAUGAGCUCGCGGCCUAUCAGCUUGUUGGUGGGGUAAUGGCCUACCAAGGCGGCGACGGGUAGCCGGCCUGAGAGGGUGGACGGCCACAUUGGGACUGAGAUACGGCCCAGACUCCUACGGGAGGCAGCAGUGGGGAAUAUUGCACAAUGGGCGCAAGCCUGAUGCAGCGACGCCGCGUGGGGGAUGACGGCCUUCGGGUUGUAAACUCCUUUCGCUAGGGACGAAGCUUUUUGUGACGGUACCUAGAUAAGAAGCACCGGCUAACUACGUG